GACAGAGGUUGCAAACGUUGUUCGGAAUUACUGGGCGUAAAGCGUGCGCAGGCGGUUCGUUGUGUCCGUCGUGAAAGCCCCGGGCUUAACCUGGGAACUGCGAUGGAAACUAGCGAGCUGGAGUGUGGCAGAGGGGGGUGGAAUUCCGCGUGUAGCAGUGAAAUGCGUAGAGAUGCGGAGGAACACCGAUGGCGAAGGCAGCCCCCUGGGCUAACACUGACGCUCAGGCACGAAAGCGUGGGGAGCAAACAGG
rnacentral:rRNA from 1 species